AUUAGAGUUUCAUCCUGGCUCAGGAUGAACGCUAGCUACAGGCUUAACACAUGCAAGUCGAGGGGCAGCAUUAUCGAAGCUUGCUUUGAUAGAUGGCGACCGGCGCACGGGUGAGUAACGCGUAUCCAACCUUCCCUAUAGUAGAGAAUAGCCCGGCGAAAGUCGGAUUAAUGCUCUAUGUUGUAUUUAGAAGACAUCUGAAGAAUACCAAAGGUUUACCGCUAUAGGAUGGGGAUGCGUCUGAUUAGGUAGUAGGCGGGGUAACGGCCCACCUAGCCGACGAUCAGUAGGGGUUCUGAGAGGAAGGUCCCCCACAUUGGAACUGAGCCAUGAUCAAACUC
rnacentral:rRNA from 1 species